GACGAACGCUGGCGGCAUGCCUAAUACAUGCAAGUCGAGCGAACAGAUGAAGUGCUUGCACUUCUGACGUUAGCGGCGAACGGGUGAGUAACACGUAAGGAAUCUACCUAUAAGCGGGGGAUAACAUUCGGAAACGGGUGCUAAUACCGCAUAAUAUCUUCUUCCGCAUGGAAGAAGAUUGAAAGACGGCUCUGCUGUCACUUAUAGAUGACCUUGCGGUGCAUUAGUUAGUUGGUGGGGUAACGGCCUACCAAGACGAUGAUGCAUAGCCGACCUGAGAGGGUGAUCGGCCACAUUGGGACUGAGAAACGGCCCAAACUCCUACGGGAGGCGGCAGUAGGGAAUCUUCCGCAACGGGCGAAAGCCUGACGGAGCAAUGCCGCGUGAGUGAAGAAGGCCUUCGGGUCGUAAAACUCUGUUAUAAGAGAAGAACAAAUUGUAGAGUAACUGCUACAGUCUUGACGGUAUCUUAUCAGAAAGCCACGGCUAACUACGUGCCAGCAGCCGCCGUAA
rnacentral:rRNA from 1 species